GAGGAGUAUGGGGUCUGCAAGAAUAGAGGCUUGGGCAGUCAUUCUCAUGCUUGUAGGACUCUCCUUGCUCAUCCAUCAUCAAACAAGAGUUGGCGCCACGAGGUUGCAGGAUCAGCAGCCGGCAACGAGGGGAAGAUUUGUGGCAAAGAAAGGGAUGAUGCCUUGGUGGUGGAAUGCGGAUUAUGCUCCAGUUAGGCGGCGAAGGCCAAUACAUAAUAGUUUUGAGCCAUGAUUUAAGUAAUGGUGGCCUUCCUCAUGAAAACCUAAGUAAGAUUUUUCUCAGAACCCACAAGAACAUGAAAGAGAGGGGAGGGCUACUGUUUUGCGUUUCUAGUAGUUUUGGGAUCUAUAUAGAUCGAAGUUUUUGCUGUGGGUGUCUUGUAAGUAGUGGCGUAAUAUAAUCUACAAGUGUUUUUUUUUA